UACGUAGGGGGCAAGCGUUGUCCGGAAUCAUUGGGCGUAAAGAGCGUGUAGGCGGCCAGAUAAGUCCGCUGUGAAAUCUCGAGGCUCAACUUCGAGCUGUCGGUGGAAACUGUCUGGCUAGAGUCCGGAAGAGGAGAAUGGAAUUCCCGUGGUGUAGCGGUGAAAUGCGCAGAUAUCGGGAGGAACACCGGUGGCGAAGGCGGUUCUCUGGGCCUUACCUGACGCUGAGGAGCGAAAGCGUGGGGAGCGAACAGG
rnacentral:rRNA from 1 species